rnacentral:rRNA from 1 species
UAGGCAUGCAAGUCGUGCGAGAAGCCUCCUUCGGGAGGUGGAGAGCGGCGGAAGGGAGAGUAAUGCGUGGUUACGUGCCCUGAGGACCGGGAUAGUGCGGCGAAAGCUUCAGUAAUACCGGAUAAUGUCUCAGGAUCAAAUGGUGUGAUUCCGCCUUGGGAUCGGACCACGUGCUAUUAGCUUGUUGGCGGGGUAACGGCCCACCAAGGCUACGAUGGCUACCGGGUGUGAGAGCAUGACCCGGCUCACUGGGACUGAGACACUGCCCAGACAUCUACGGAUGGCUGCAGUCGAGAAUCUUCGGCAAUGGGCGAAAGCCUGACCGAGCGACGCCGCGUGCGGGAUGAAGGCCUUCGGGUUGUAAACCGCUGUCAGUUGGGAGGAAAUUCUAUAGGGUUCUCUCUAUAGAUUGACCGAUCUUCAGAGGAAGGACGGGCUAAGUUCGUGCCAGCAGCCGCGGUAAGACGAACCGUCCAACGUUAUUCGGUAUCACUGGACUUAAAGCGUGCGUAGGCGGCUUGGUAGGUGAGAUGUGAAAGCCCACGGCUCACCCGUGGAAUUGCGUUUCAAACCACCAGCCUUGAAGAUGGCAGGGGUGAUGGG